CCUACGGGAGGCAGCAGUAGGGAAUUUUCGGCAAUGGGGGGAACCCUGACCGAGCAACGCCGCGUGAGGGAAGAAGUAUUUCGGUAUGUAAACCUCUGUUAUCAAGGAAGAACGGUGCAUGUAGGGAAUGACCUUCCAUUGACGGUACUUUAUGAGGAAGCCCCGGCUAACUACGUGCCAGCAGCCGCGGUAAUACGUAGGUGGCGAGCGUUAUCCGGAAUUAUUGGGCGUAAAGAGGGAGCAGGCGGCAGAUAAGGUCUGCGGUGAAAGCCCGAAGCUAAACUUCGGUAAGGCGUGGAAACCGAGAAGCUAGAGUGCAGUAGAGGAGAGUGGAAGUCCAGGUGUAGCGGUGAAAUGCGUAGAUAUAUGGAGGAACACCAGUGGCGAAGGCGACGAGCUGGGCGGCAACUGACGCUCAGUCCCGAAAGCGUGGGGAGCAAAUAGGAUUAGAUACCCUGGUAGUC
rnacentral:rRNA from 1 species